GCAGUUCAGUGGUAGAGCAUCUGCUUGGCAUGCCGAAGGUCCCAGGUUCAAUCCCUGGCAUCUCCU